UACGUAGGGGGCUAGCGUUAUCCGGAAUUACUGGGCGUAAAGGGUGCGUAGGUGGUUUCUUAAGUCAGAGGUGAAAGGCUACGGCUCAACCGUAGUAAGCCUUUGAAACUGGGAAACUUGAGUGCAGGAGAGGAGAGUGGAAUUCCUAGUGUAGCGGUGAAAUGCGUAGAUAUUAGGAAGAACACCAGUGGCGAAGGCGAUUCUCUGGACUGUAACUGACGCUGAGGCUCGAAAGCGUGGGGAGCAAACAGG
rnacentral:rRNA from 1 species